UUCCGUGUGAUUGCCUUCACCGUGGAAUCCACGAUGACAGGAUGGCCUCCAGCCUUGGAAUGAAGCACCACAAUGCAUUGUCACUGAAGCCUUCCACCUUGUGGCAACACACAUCACUUCUGCCACAUUUCAUUGACAAGUCCUGCGGCUCAGCCAGUGUCCGAGAAGGGCUUAUUGUGCUUUAUGACUGUCUUCAAAUUACUGACUCGCCUGAGCGGCUGAGGCGUCAGCUCUGGGAGAAAGCUUCCCACGGAAUCAUCGGUGCCCAGUGGGGCGCCGGGUGCGCGGCUGGCCUUCGGCGCCCACGGACUUCAGACAAAGAAGAAACGGAAAAGUGGCUCAGAUCAGAGUCCUGCAGCGGCCCGGCCUGAAGAAAAUUCGUGUCAUCCCCGGCGGCUACGGAACGUCACACUAACAGGGGACGAGGUGGCCUCAAGCCCCCGGCUCUCCAGCUCGGCCAGACACCAAGCAGGCAGCCUUCAGCCCGAACCCCCCCCUGAAUUCACACGUACCAGAAGGUGGCCUGGGGAGGA